AUAUCAAUAAGCGGAGGAAAAGAAACCAACAGGGAUUGCCUCAGUAACGGCGAGUGAAGCGGCAGCAGCUCAAAUUUGAAAUCUGGCCCCUCGGGGUUCGAGUUGUAAUUUGUAGAGGAUGCUUCGGCUUGGGCCCCGGGACAGGUCCCUUGGAACAGGGCGCCGUAGAGGGUGAGAGCCCCGUACCCGCCCGGGUGACCCUCGCCGUGUGAAGCCCCUUCGAAGAGUCGAGUUGUUUGGGAAUGCAGCUCUAAGCGGGAGGUAUAUUUCUUCUAAAGCUAAAUACCGGCCAGAGACCGAUAGCGCACAAGUAGAGUGAUCGAAAGAUGAAAAGCACUUUGGAAAGAGAGUUAAAAAGCACGUGAAAUUGUUGAAAGGGAAGCUCUUGCCGCCAGACUUGCCGCGGUUGCUCAGCCGUCCCCCUCGGUCGGUGCACUCUUCCGCGGCAGGCCAGCGUCAGUUCGGGCGGUCGGAUAAAGGCCCCGGGAAUGUGGCCCCCCUCGGGGGGUGUUAUAGCCCGGGGCGCAAUGCGGCCAGCCCGGUCUGAGGGAAGCGUUCGCGAGGACGCUGGCGUAAUGGCCGCAAGCGACCCGUCUUGAAACACGGACCAAGGAGUCUAACAUCUGUGCGAGUGUUUGGGCGUCAAACCCACGCGCGUAAUGAAAGUGAACGGAGGUGGGAACCCCCCCAAGGGGCGCACCAUCGACCGAUCCUGAUGUCCUCGGAUGGAUUUGAGUAAGAGCAUAGCUGUUGGGACCCGAAAGAUGGUGAACUAUACCUAAAUAGGGUGAAGCCAGAGGAAACUCUGGUGGAGGCUCGCAGCGGUUCUGACGUGCAAAUCGAUCGUCAAAUUCGGGUAUAGGGGCGAAAGACUAAUCGAACCAU
rnacentral:rRNA from 1 species